AGAGUGGCGGACGGGUGAGUAACGCGUAGGAAUCUGCCUAGUAGUGGGGGACAACUACCGGAAACGGUAGCUAAUACCGCAUACGCCCUACGGGGGAAAGCGGGGGAUCUUCGGACCUCGCGCUAUAGAUGAGCCUGCGUCGGAUUAGCUAGUUGGUAGGGUAAUGGCCUACCAAGGCGACGAUCCGUAGCUGGUCUGAGAGGAUGAUCAGCCACAUUGGGACUGAGACACGGCCCAA
rnacentral:rRNA from 1 species